AUGUCGUUGGUGAGGUUCUUCGACACGCUGGCCCUGGACGCGUGGAACCCCUUCGGCAGCAUCUUCGGCACGACGGCGUCAAGCGGAACCGACGCGUGGCUGGCCAGCGACACCACGGCGUUCGCCGACACCUACAUCGAGAGCCGGGAGACGGCGGAGGCCUACGUGUUCAGCACCAGGCUCCCCGCGGGGGUCACCAAGGAGGAGGUCAAGGUGGAGGUGGAGGAGGAGGGCAAGGUGCUGGUCAUCGCCGGCGAGCGGUGCCUGCGGAGGGAGGCCAAGAGCGAGACGCGCCACCACGUCGAGCGCAGCAGCGCCACCUUCUUCGGCAGGUUCCACCUCCCCGACGACGCCGCCUUGGGCCAGGUCAGGGCCGCCAUGGACGACGGCGGUGCGCAGCUCACCGUCACCGUGCCCAGGGUUGGCGCCGCCGUCCCGGUGACCAUGCCUGAGCCGGCAGUGGCCAUCGAGGUCGUCGAGGUCAGCCCGUGCUGA
rnacentral:rRNA from 1 species